rnacentral:tRNA from 1 species
GCAGGAGUUGCCAAGCAUGGUCAACGGUGCUAGAUCGAGGUUCUAGUCUCAUAGGAGUUCGAGGGUUCGAAUCCCUCCUCCUGCA